AGUGAACGCUGGCGGUAGGCCUAACACAUGCAAGUCGAACGGCAGCACAGUAAGAGCUUGCUCUUACGGGUGGCGAGUGGCGGACGGGUGAGGAGUACAUCGGAAUCUACUUUUUCGUGGGGGAUAACGUAGGUAAACUUACUCUAAUACCGCAUACGCCCUACGGGUGAAAGCAGGGGAUCUUCGGACCUUGCGCGAUUGAAUGAGCCGAUGUCGGAUUAGCUAGUUGGCGGGGUAAAGGCCCACCCAGGCGACGAUCCGUAGCUGGUCUGAGAGGAUGAUCAGCCACACUGGAACUGAGACACGGUCAAGACGACUACGGGAGGCAGCAGUGGGGAAUAUUGGACAAUGGGCGCAAGCCUGAUCCAGCCAGACCGCGUGGGUGAAGAAGGCCUUCGGGUUGUAAAGCCCUUUUGUUGGGAAAGAAAAGCAGCAGGUUAAGACCACGCUGUUCUGACGGUACCCAAAGAAUAAGCACCGGCUAACUUCGUG
rnacentral:rRNA from 1 species